CUCCCACUGUGCUUGUAUCUUGCAUGGAAAAUAUUUGGGUGAAUAACCUUAGCAAUAGUUGCCCAAUCUGAACUUUGAUGGUUCCAUGCAACUGAGAAGAUAGAACCAGUUAAUCUAAAACUGGUUUUAGGGUUCUAAGAUCAUGAUGUCCUAUUACAUCACAGAAAGAACAACUAGCAGGAGGAUAAACAUCUUCAUUCCACCAUCCCUGUGAAAGGCAAUGGGGCAGGAACCUCAGUGGCCACCACUGGAGAACAUGAAAAUUACUGAUUAUGCAUUUCUCCUUCCAAAGAAUAUACAGUGUAAAGUUUGCAGUUACAUGGAAGGACUGUAGGAGACAAGUCUGGAAAGAUGAGGUGGUCUUAAAUACCAGGUGUAUAGUUUAGAAGUUCACUGGCAACAUGGAGCCAUUGAAAGUUGUUGAGAAAUGG
rnacentral:lncRNA from 1 species